ACGCGAGUGAAAAUUUUAUACGAGACGGCGCCGUUUAAGAAAUCUUUCCAGUUGCUAUUGGCACUGCAACUCCGACACAGCCGUCUCCAUCUUCAAUGUUUGUGAAACCUUCCCCUUCCCAUCCCUAGGUCUAAGUCGUAGCCGUUGAAGGGGAGGAUCUAAAUCCAAUGGCGGCACAAGGCCAGGGAUCAAUGGACCCUGUCCUAGUCGACGACAUAAUCAGACGGCUGACAGAGAUCAGAUCGGCGAGGCCCGGGAAGCAGGUCCAGCUCUCAGAGACCGAGAUCAAGCAACUCUGUGUUGCUUCCAGAGACAUCUUCAUUCGACAGCAAAAUCUGCUCGAGCUCGAAGCCCCCAUCAAGAUUUGCGUUAACAGCAUUGGAAAAAUUGGGGCAACAUGAUCAUAAUCAAACUCAUUUAGUUUUGGUCGGGUCAAGCAGCCUUGGAUCUAUAUGUGUCAAACAAACAAUUUCCAGGAGGAAUGAGGGUUAAUGUGACCUGUCUGGCUCAUGCUCGGGCCAUUCAUAAUUAUUCAAAGUGUCGUAAUUAUCCUAAUUUUCUGGAUUUCAUUUGUCUGACCUCAACAGUUUUCCUUUCUAUUUUCAGGUGACAUACAUGGGCAAUACAGUGACUUAUUAAGGUUGUUUGAAUAUGGGGGAUUUCCUCCCCAUGCAAAUUAUUUAUUUUUAGGGGAUUAUGUGGAUCGUGGAAAGCAGAGUUUAGAAACAAUAUGCCUUUUGCUUGCCUAUAAGAUUAAAUAUCCAGAGAACUUCUUCCUUCUAAGAGGAAAUCAUGAAUGUGAUUCUAUUAACCGGAUAUAUGGAUUUUAUGAUGAAUGUAAGCGCCGAUUCAAUGUAAGGCUUUGGAAGGCCUUUACAGACAGUUUUAACUGCCUUCCUGUCGCAGCUCUUAUAGAUGACAGAAUAUUGUGUAUGCAUGGUGGUCUUUCCCCCGAUCUUAACAACUUAGAUCAAAUUAGAAAUUUAACUCGUCCGACUGCUGUUCCAGACGCUGGAUUGCUAUGCGAUUUGCUCUGGUCAGAUCCCAGUAGAGAUGUUAAAGGAUGGGGAAUGAAUGACAGAGGAGUCUCAUACACCUUUGGCCCUGAUAAGGUGGCAGAAUUCUUAGAGAAGCAUGAUUUGGACCUUGUCUGUCGUGCCCAUCAGGUUGUGGAGGAUGGGUAUGAGUUCUUUGCCGACAGGAAACUUGUUACAAUAUUUUCAGCCCCCAAUUACUGUGGUGAAUUUGAUAAUGCUGGUGCAAUGAUGAGUGUAGAUGAAAACUUGACGUGCUCCUUCCAGAUUCUUAAGCCAGCAGAGAAAAAAGCCAAGUUCAUGAUAUCAAACAAAAUUUGAUGGUAGCUAUAUCAUUGCUCUCUUGUCUUAAUCAAGAUAUUUUCCCUUUUUGCCUGGGGCAUUGCUCAAAUGAAGAUUGCCGGCUUCAUAACUUCCCUCAGUUGAGGAGAUGCAAGUGCUAUGAUUUAUACUUUGAUGAAUCUUGUGAGUCAGAGAGGAGGAAAUCAGGUCUUAGGAAGAGGCAUAAAAGUAUUAUAUGCACGUUUAGAUUUCUCUGUAGCAAUUCAUCUGUGACACGAUGUGUACAUAUAUUCGGUUAGGCAAUUCACGGUUGUGCUUUCCAUUGUGGGCAACAGAAAUAACCUUAUUUACUCCUGAAUUCUUCCGUAACUAUGGUUAUUAACUUUUGUUCAUUGAAAUGUUUUAGAGCUAUUUAUCUCUUUUUAUCUGAA